rnacentral:sRNA from 1 species
UCAAUAUAAGGAAUGCUUCUUGGGAGCUG